UUUAUUCAUUAGAUAUUGAGGUUUAAAUCUGUCAUAGGAAUUACUAGGAUUUGGAUUAGGGUUUGACUAGGGUUCGGUUUAGGGUUUGGAUUAGGGUUUGAUUUAGGGUUUGGAUUAGAGUUUGGACUAGGUUUUGGUUAGGAUUUGAUUUAGGAUUUGGAUUAGGAUUUGGAUUAGGAUUUAGGAUUUGAUUAGGGUUUGAUUUAGGGUUUGGAUUAGAAUUUGGUUAAGGUUUGAUUUAAGAUUUGGUUUAGGAUUUAGGAUUUGGAUUAGAGUUUAGAGUUGGAUUAGGAUUUGGAUUAGGGUUUAAGGUUUGGUUAGGAUUUUAUUUAGGAUUUGGAUUAGAGUUUGGAGUUGGAUUAGGGUUUGGAUUAGGGUUUAGAUUAGGAUUUAGGAUUUGGUUAGGGUUUGAUUUAGGGUUUGGAUUAGGAUUUGGUUAGGAUUUGAUUUAGGAUUUGGAUUAGGAUUUGGUUAGGAUUUGAUUUAAGGUUUGGUUUAGGGUUUAGGGUUGGAUUAGGGUUUGGUUUAGGAUUUGAUUUAGGGUUUGGUUUAGGAUUUAGGGUUUGGAAUAGGGUUUAAUUCAAGAUUUGUUUAGGAUUUGACUUAGGGUUUAGGAAUUAUUAGGAUUUAAGAUUUAAUUAGGUUUGGUCUAAAGUUGAGUGAAAUUCAAUAGGGUUUUAACUAGAAUUAAAUUAAGGUUGAAUUGACAUAUAUUUGAAUAAAAUUUGUGAUCAUUCUAAUAUUUCUUUAAAAAUUUUAUUGUUUGUUUGAAAUUUCUUUGAGUUGUUUUGAAUUUGAUUACAUUUGUUUACCAUUAUUAUAGUCUAAUUAGAGCAUUGUUAGUAUUCUAUUAGAAUUAGGAUUUUGUUAUCGCAAUUUCUAUUCUUCCUUCUACAGCCAGGUGCCCGGAGCAUUCUCAAGCAAGACUUCACACAUUACGACAACG
rnacentral:lncRNA from 1 species